AACGAACGCUGGCGGCAGGCCUAACACAUGCAAGUCGAACGCGUGUAGCAAUACACGAGUGGCGCACGGGUGAGUAACACGUGGGAACGUGCCCUUCAGUCUGGGAUAACAGCGGGAAACUGCUGCUAAUACCGGAUAUUCCCUCCGGGGGAAAGAUUUAUCGCUGAAGGAUCGGCCCGCGUUGGAUUAGGUAGUUGGUGGGGUAAUGGCCUACCAAGCCUACGAUCUAUAGCUGGUCUGAGAGGAUGAUCAGCCACACUGGAACUGAGACACGGUCCAGACUCCUACGGGAGGCAGCAGUGGGGAAUAUUGGACAAUGGGCGCAAGCCUGAUCCAGCCAUGCCGCGUGAGUGAUGAAGGCCCUAGGGUUGUAAAGCUCUUUUGCCAGGGAAGAUGAUGACGGUACCUGGAGAAUAAGCACCGGCUAACUUCGUGCCAGCAGCCGCGGUAA
rnacentral:rRNA from 1 species